GGAGCACGAGAAAGCUAGUGCCACAUGAGGGUUAGUUAGUGUGCUUUUGCAAUUUCUUCUGCUGUUACAGUAAGUUCUUCUAGGUUAAAACUAUUCACCCUCCUGUGUCCUCUGCUCAUCCCUAGGACAACACCCUACGUUAGGAUGAGCUUCCCACCUCAUCAUUCUGCAUCUGGUCUUUAAUCUUUCAGGGAAGGGCGUCAGGAUGGCCUGAAUAUUCUAAACCAGCCUUCCUUGCCUAAAAUGAAACUGUUCACCUAUUAAAAGGGGGAGGGCCUGACGGCUGAGGCUACCCUCCCCCAAUUCUCCAGGCUCGGGAGCAGGGUUGGGUAAAGAAUGAAUGACUUUGACAGGAAGGAGUGAGUGACUGUCGAGAGACCCCUGGCGUUUUCAGUUGAAAGGGAAGGAGAGCGCAGGGAACCCACAGGAGGCGAGGGAAUCGUCCGGAAAUCCGGGAAGGAUCCUGGAGCAAAAGGCCGGCUGACUUUUCGGCAGCGGACCAGCGUCCCGAGGAAGGGCCGCAGACGCCUCCCAGAAGCACACAGCGGCGUGAGGGGCGGGCUCCUCCGGCGGAAGCUGUAUCCAGCAUGCUUCAAGGUUACAGCUCUGUUUCCCAGGCCUUGCUGGGGACCUUCUUCACCUGGGCAAUGACAGCGGCGGGAGCGGCUCUCGUGUUCAUAUUCUCCAGUGGGCAGAGGCGGAUCUUAGAUGGAAGCCUGGGUUUUGCUGCAGGGGUCAUGUUAGCAGCUUCCUAUUGGUCGCUGCUUGCACCAGCGGUUGAGAUGGCCACCUCCUCAGGGGGCUUUGGUGCCUUCGCCUUCUUCCCAGUGGCCGU
rnacentral:lncRNA from 1 species